CCUGAUAGCUUAAUUGGUAAAGAAUCUGCCUGCAGUGCAGGAGACCCGGGUUACAUCCCUGGGUCAGGA
rnacentral:tRNA from 1 species